rnacentral:sRNA from 1 species
AAGGGAAAAUAGGUGGAAAUUCAAAAAUCAAGUGAAAAAAGGUGGUGAGUCAAUUGUUUCGGGUAAGAGACUGCACCCGAGGGCGGAAGAUAGGAGUAUUUCUACUCCUAAUACUGCUCGGGGAAUUCCAUAGUUAGCU